GACGAACGCUGGCGGCGUGCUUAACACAUGCAAGUCGAACGGAAAGGCCCUGCUUUUGUGGGGUGCUCGAGUGGCGAACGGGUGAGUAACACGUGAGUAACCUGCCCUUGACUUUGGGAUAACUUCAGGAAACUGGGGCUAAUACCGGAUAGAAGCUCCUGCUGCAUGGUGGGGGUUGGAAAGUUUCGGCGGUUGGGGAUGGGCUCGCGGCUUAUCAGCUUGUUGGUGGGGUAGUGGCUUACCAAGGCUUUGACGGGUAGCCGGCCUGAGAGGGUGACCGGCCACAUUGGUACUGAGAUACGGCCCAGACUCCUACGGGAGGCAGCAGUGGGGAAUAUUGCACAAUGGGCGGAAGCCUGAUGCAGCAACGCCGCGUGCGGGAUGACGGCCUUCGGGUUGUAAACCGCUUUCGCCUGUGACGAAGCGUGAGUGACGGUAAUGGGUAAAGAAGCACCGGCUAACUACGUG
rnacentral:rRNA from 1 species